AUCAUGUAGUUCACGGCUAUGUGGCCUUAAGCUGAUGUUGAUAUUCACACUGUGCGUCAUCAACAAAACUGAAAAAUAAGAAUGUAAUUGAUACGAGAAUCCGUAUCAAUACCCGGAAAGGAGCUGUCACCAUGCAACCUUGAACACAUGUUUUACUUUUUAAUGAUUCAAAAGAUUCUAUGAUGAGUAAUACAUUUAGCAAAUAAGGAAAAUUUAAAAAUGUUAGUUCAACAGUCUGGAUUCUUCCACUCGAUUCAUUUAAAAGAAUAAAUAAACCGUCAUUAUUUGAUAGAAGCGAUAAAAGUUAGUACAUAAAGUGUACAUGUCGCGUCAGUUCUUCUACGAACUUCUUGAAAAAUAAGAUUUCUGUUUUCUUUCAUUUUGUUUGCCAAAAACAAAUGAAGAUUUAAUUUUUACGUUCCUCGGAUUCCUGCGUUCAAUAGAUCCUCCUGUGCUAAAAUCAGAGAAAAUGUACAAUGUACCAUGAAAAUGUGCAACGAAUCACAGCAGCGUACACAAAUAAUAUCGAUGGGAAAUCCCUUUUACUUGCUGGAAUAUGCAACGUACAUCCCUGGCAACCCUAGGAAUAUCGAGAGAGAGAUAUCCCAAAAUGCAGAAAUUCGGACACUCCUUAGAUAUUCCAUAGAUAUCUCAAGCUAUCCUAAUGAUAUCCUUUACAUAUAAAUUAUAGAUCUUAAUGAGAUAUUCUCAGAAUAUCUUGAAAUUUCCUUGCGAUAUAUAACUAAUAUAGGAAUUUCUGCACUGUAGGAUAUUUCUUAUUAAAUAUUUAAUAGAGUUCAACAUAAAGUAGAAAAUUUCGCGUUUUAGACAUACUUUAUUCGGAUGUAAAUUGGGUGGACCUUUGAAAAAAAUAUUUUCAUUAUUAAAUGAUGAGUUUACUUAUUUAUAGGAUUGAAAAUACAUCAUUUAUAAUUGAAGAUAUAUAUCCACAUUUACAGUACAUCCUUUGCAUAUAAAUUAGGAACACUAAUGAGAUAUUCCAAAGAUAUCUUGAGAUAUCCUUGGAAUAUCUAAUGAGCAUCAGAAUUUCUGUCUGUAAGAUAUUUCUCAUUUAAUAAAUGAUAGAGCUCAAUAUAAAAAAGAAAAUUUCGCGUUUUAGACAUACUUUAUUCGCAUGUGAGUCGGGAGUCUCUUUUGAAAAAAUACUGUCAUAUUGUUAAACGAUGAGUUUAUUUAUUUAUAGGAUUGAAAAUACAUCAUUUGUGCAUUAAGAUAUAUCGACAUUUAUAGGACAUCCUUUGCAUAUAAAUUAGAGACACGAAUGAGACAUUCCAAGCAUAUCUCAAGAUAUCCUAAGAAUAUUUCAUUAGUGUCUCUAAUUUAUAUGCUAAGGAUGUCCUGUAAAUGUCGAUAUAUCUUAACUUACAAAUGAUGUAUUUUUGAUCCCGUAAAUGAAGAAACUUAUAAUUUAACAUAGUGUUACAAUAUUUCUUCUGAAAAGACUCCCGAUUCAUUUCCGAAUAAAGUAUGCCUAAAAUGGGAUAUUUUCUCUAUUAUGUUGAAUUCUAUUGUAUAUUAAAUGAGAAACAUCCUACAGUACAGAAAUUCCAAUGUUCAUUAGACAUCUCAAGGAUAUCUCAAGAUAUCCUGAGAAUAUGUCAUUAGAAUCUUUAAUUUAUAUGCUAAGGAUUACCUGUAAAUGUCGAUAUAUCUUAACCUACCAAUAUCGUAGUUUCGAUCCUACACAUAAAUUCAUCCUUUAACAAUAUUACUUUUUUUUCUGAAAAGAGUCCCGAUGUAUGAUUGAAUAAAGUAUAUCACAAGCGGAAUAUUUUCUAUAUUAUCUUGAAUUCUAUUGUAUAUUAAAUCAUAAAUAUUCUAAAGUGCGGAAAUUCCAAUAUUCAUUAGAUAUCACAAGGACAUCUCAAGAUAUCCUGGGAAUGUGUCAUUAGAGUCUUUAAUUUAUAUGAUAAGAAUUUACUGUAAAUGUCGAUAUUUCCUAAUACACAAAUAUAAUGUAUUCUCGAUCCAACAAAUAAAUAAACUCAUCAUUUAAUAA